UGAUCAAUUGUUUCAUAUUUUGAAGGUAUUGAAUUAUAAAAUUCCUUUGCUCUUUCUUCUGGUGGAACACUGUAAAGUCUACUGAGCUUGUGCUUCAAUACAGUGAUGGGAACAUCUUGAGCAGACCAUAUUCCCGGCUUCAAUUCUGGCUCCCAACCAAACGAGAAUAAACCAGGCUCCUCAGUUUUCAUAGCUUCCCCUGGAGAUAAAAUUUCAAAGGGAGAAGACAAAGGAGGAUGUGCGCAAUAAGUGCAGCUGCGGAGUCCUUGUAUUCCUGUACCCCCUCUUGUCUUAAACUUCAAAUGGCUUAGUAUAGCACUCAUUAACUUGACAGGCUUACGGCCAUUGUUCUUCACUAUAACUGCUGUUGCCAUGCUCAGUGGAUAGAGUGACACCACAUAGUUAAUAUCAAGAGUCCCUCUGCUGCAACUCAAUUCAACCUGAAAUUUUUAGUACAUAGUUUCUGUCACAGCUAUUCAGCUGCAUCCCCUUUUUGAGAACGACAACAGCAACAACAACAAAAAGAAGCCCAGUAUUUUUCAAAGUCGGGGAAGGGUGAGAUGUACGCAGCCUUACCACUAUCUAGAAGGACAGAGAGGUUGUUUCCGAUAGACGCUCAACUGGAGAACGGAUGACAAAAGUAAUGGCAACAAGAUAAAAAUAUUGAAGUCAACAACAUAACCUCGCCCCAAGACUUCUUAGGCCUACCUCUACCCUCCUGGUACCCACUGAGGCUAACAUCUCGCAUCUCUGGGGCUUCUAUACAACAUCCCGUUUUUGAGAAAUUAAGAAAAAUAGCUUUUAAACAAGAAAGAUAGUAUUUCUUUGUGAAAGGGAAAGCUACUUUCUGAACACAACAUAUUCUCAUAGCUAAUGGAAAGAUUUGGUUUGCCUUUUCCAAAUUCAAGAAAGUUAAUUGAUAUCAUGGUGCUUAUCCUACCAACAUAUAUUGCAAUGAUCAUUCAGUCAAGAAACAAUUGAAUGAAAGAGGAGUGAAAACUGAGUAGUAACUGACCUGGAGAGCAUCAAUAGAGUCGGAAUCAACAUCCGUGACAGUCCACUCAGAAGAAGCUUUGGCUGUUGUUUUUGUUGUUGACAAUUUAUUUGGCUCCAAGAUUUCAUUGAUUACGAGAGCAAUGCCACCUCUAGAAUUAGAAGAAAAAGAGGAAGAAGGAGGAAGGGUAUAAAGAACUUCCUCAAAACCAUCAUCUUUCCAAUAAACUUUAGGCUUAUAAGAAGUUAUAUGGGCAUUGGGUAUCUGUAAUAUCACUGAGCUUCCAUUUCUAACACUCAGCUCAACUGUCCCUUCAGACUCACUAAAUUUGAUGCCUUUACGACCGAAUUUCUGUUCAAGACUUUCUGUAGUUGUGGUGUUGGCUGCAGUUGAAGCUUUAAUUACAUUGAGCUUAGGUAGAGAAAGAGAUAAAAGAGCUCCAGCCAUUCUUAGCCACCAAGAAGAGAAAAGAAAGAAAGAAAGAACAAGUCUGUCUUGUUUUAUCUGAGAGUUUAUGGGAGCUUAACUUCCACAAACACAGAGAGCAGUGAGUGCAUAGUGGCUAAGGCCUAUCUCCACCUCCUCCUUUCUUUCUCCGAAAACUUACUUUGGCACAUUCUGGUACAGUGACCACUAAGCCCAAAUAAGACAUUUUCCAACCCUUUUUUUUUUCCAUAUGUUUUAUUAGCAAAUUGUUCUUCGACUUAUUAAAAAAUAUACAAUAAUUUUAAAUAAUGUUUCAGUUAUGUGAACCUAUUUUUUUGAUUCGUUUUGAAAAUAAUUUAGUUUAAAUUUUCGAUUCUAUCCAUAAUGAAAAGUUUUUAUAACCGUACAAAUAUUGUGGACCUCUUUUUGACUUGUUUAGGACCACAAAUUACAAAUAUUUCAUCUUUUUUUAAACUAUGUGCCUGUAUGGGUAAAAAACAUGGCCAUCUGAUUAUCACGAAACCGGCUCCAUCCAAAUUGGUUACGACCACUAAUCAAUACACUCGACUCCAAGCAAUCAUAGCCAUUUCCGCAACAAGCAAUGGGGCUACGACCCUCCCGCGCCAUGUAGACGUCUCCUCAACUUGGCCAUGACAAUCUGCUACCAGAUCAUGCAACUUAUAGCUAUAAAUACUAAGAAAGAGGAUCGUAAAAAGGGCUCUUCUUCGAGGACAUUGUUCACAAUAGAAUAAGCAAAACAUAUUACAUGUAUCGCCCUAACAUCAAUACGAUUAUUUCGAUCUGAACCUCUUCAAGGAGAGGCGGAUCGAGUCAUUAUGAUCAAUAAAACGUUGAAUCUAUGGCCCGUUAAUCUUUGCUAUUCGCAUUUUGUCUCCAUCUUUUGGUCCAGUGAUUUAUUAUAGUUUGCUACGAUUUACCCCAUGAUUUAUUUUAAUUGUUUUCCCUCAUAAAGUAUUGUACAACUUUUGAGUCAAACAAUUUGGCACCGUCUAUGGGGAUUUCGUAGCAAGAUUGCAUAGUUCCUCCCUGGACCAGAGCGAAAAGUUCCAAAAAAGGAAACAAUCCAACUCUAACGAGCCAAAAGCAGUACAUCGAGCGAAGAGAACUCUAAGGCCUCAGCGAAAGCCAAAAUAUUCCGUUCUAUUAAUCUCGAACAAUGCAAACAAGAAGAAGAUCCCCCAGAACAAGAGGAAACCGAUGCAAAGCAUCCCCCUCACCCUUGAUACAAUGUCUAGCCCGAAGACGGAAUAAAGACGUCGUAAACUAGGGAUCGAUCUCUACGAGCCCGAUCUCGAUCGAGGAACAAACUCAGGCCAAGUGCCUUCGCCACUGAAGUUAUCAGGCCAAGUGCCUUCGCCAUCGAAGUUAUCAGGCGAAGUCCCUUCGCCAUCGAAGUUAUCAGGCCAAGUGCCAUUGCUAUCAAAGUUAUCAGGCCAAGUGCCUUCGCCAUCAACGUCAUUAAGUUCGACCUUACUCGAACUGUGACUCAGGCCAAGUGCCUAAAGUUCGACCUUAAUCGAACUGGGAUUCAGGCCAAAUGCCUUUGCCAACAACGUUAUUAAGUUCGACCUUAGUCGAACUGGGACUCAGGCCAAGUGCCUUUGCCAUCAAUGUCAUUAAGUUCGACCUUAGUCUAACUGGGACCCAGGCCAAGUGCCUUCGCCAUCAACGUCAUUAAGUUCGACCUCAGUCAAACUGGGUUCUCAGGCCAAGUGCCUUCGCCAUCAACGUUAUUAAGUUCGACCUUAAUCGAAUUGGGACUCAGGCCUAGUGCCUUCGCCAACAACGUUAUUAAGUUCGACCUUAGUCGAACUGGAACUCAGGCCAAGUGCCUUCGCCAUCAACAUCAUUAAGUUCAACCUCAGUCAAACUGGGACUCAGGGCAAGUGCCUUUGCCGUCAACGUCAUUAUGUUCAACCUUAGUCGAACUGGGACUCAGACCAAGUGCCUUCUCUAUCAACGUCAUUAAGUUCGACCUUAGUCGAACUGGGACUAAGGCCAAAUGCCUUCACCAUCGACGUUAUCAAGUUCGACCUAAGUCAAAUCAAGAGUAAGGUUGUUCCUUCACCAUCGACUUACGCAAGUCCAAUUUCGCUCUAACUAGGACUCAGGCUACACGUCUCUGCCUCCAAGUCAGAUUUCGACCCCGCUCGAACUAUAAAGUCGUGUUUCCAUUAUCACAGUCGGUAGUCCGACCGCGUUUAAACUAAGACUGGAGCCAGUAGGAGCUAAGCACAGCUGCCAUAAAACGACAACUCCACCCUGUCCAUGUCGAAUCAAAGGACAAAAAUAGUUCAGUCAAAAACUGAUAUGUCACGACCGACCAAGGUCAAACUCAAAGGUGAGUCAUCUCUCCUUACAUUCAAAACGAAAAAGAGAAAGGGAAGAUGCAAAGUAAACACGACAAAUAACGGAAAAGAGUGCAUUUAUUUAUAAUAGAAAGAGUGCGGAUCCUCCUCGUUUAUAUCUGGCCACGACUGGUCAACACAACAAAAAGAAAAAUAAAAAAAUAACAAGAAAUACCCGAACGCCAACCGGUGAACGGAACAAAAAAACUAAAAAAUAAAUUCUCUUUCACUCAUCCCCGCCCUCGCCGUUAUUCACACCAUCAUCAGCCUCGGGCGUCGCCACAUCAUAACAACAGUUGGCACGAGCCUCACGAGCCUUCUGAUGUGCCACCUUGAAAACAGCCUUGAUCACGGUACCUGCCUCCCAGAAGCUCUUGUAAAUAUCGCGUUGGGCUUCGGCAUAGACCCAAAGUUCAUAAGCCUGGUUGGGAUUAGCAGCAUGUGAUGGCGCAGCUUGGUCACACAGCCACUGGUUCUCUUUCUCUAAGUCCGGAAUCCGAUCCGACAUCACUUGGGCCUCCUACUAAAAAACACCAAUCCGCUUCUUGAGCCCCGCUUCUCUAAGGGCCAUUGUAGCCCUCUCUGACUCAAUACAUGACUCAUGCACGCGGAUCGAGGCCUCUAAUACCCCAGCCCUUGACGAGGCAUCCCUCUCCAGAAGUUUCAAGGCAAGAACCUCGCUUUCCAAAGCUGCCAGUUUCCUACUCCAUUCCGCAGCCAUCUCCGCUGCCUCGACCUGGUUCUGCUCCACUGCCAACUCCAUCUCCCUCAACUUACCCUGUAAGUGCACACACUCUACUGCGAUCCCCCUCCCCACCUCCAGCUCCUCGUCCUUCUGACGGAUCUGCUCCUCAAGAACACUUUUGCUACCAAACGCCUGCAACAGCUGUUGGUCCCGCCUGGCCAGCUCCUCGCCCAAAGCCCGAUUGCGAGGAUCAUUCCUCAAACUCUCGUGCAGCUCUCGGCACCGGUCACGUUAACGAUGAUAUUUUCCCAUCAUCUGAAUAAAGAUCCUCGAGCGGACAUUGGCUCUCCGAAUGCUCUCCACCUCCAACAAAUAAGUCUGCAAAACAAAGAGAAAUUAAAGCCAUGGCCGAGACUAAGAAAAAGAAAAUAACGAUCUAGGAACAUACUACGCUACCCUCAGACCCAUCACGACCACUUCAUCCAUCACUUCUACAUCCGAAACACUCCUCAAAGACGUGUUCUCGACCUCCGAACACAACAACUCAAACUGUGACACCAAGCUAGGAACAUCUUGAGCAGACCAUAUUCCCGGCUUCAAUUCUGGCUCCCAACCAAACGAGAAUAAACCAGGCUCCUCAGUUUUCAUAGCUUCCCCUGGAGAUAAAAUUUCAAAGGGAGAAGACAAAGGAG
rnacentral:lncRNA from 1 species